CACGUAGGGGGCAAGCGUUGUCCGGAAUCAUUGGGCGUAAAGAGCGUGUAGGCGGCCCGGUAAGUCCGCUGUGAAAGUCCAGGGCUCAACCCUGGGAUGCCGGUGGAUACUGUCGGGCUCGAGUCCGGAAGAGGAGUGUGGAAUUCCUGGUGUAGCGGUGAAAUGCGCAGAUAUCAGGAGGAACACCGGUGGCGAAGGCGGGUCUCUGGGCCGAUGACUGACGCUGAGGAGCGAAAGCGUGGGGAGCGAACAGG
rnacentral:rRNA from 1 species